rnacentral:misc_RNA from 1 species
CUUGUACAAAUUUUGAAAUGAAAUAAAUGGAAUGUCUCUUUUGUUCGAUGAAUGGUUGUGAUCGGAACAUUUCUAAAUUAUUAAACACUUGAUUGUUUGAGUAUCUUGAAAGAACUGAAAGUGAUUAUUAACCCAAGUGUGAGAGAUCGGAAGACGUAAUGAGCAUAAGAUCAGUAGAGAACCAACGCUAAACGGAACUUGAUUAAAAUUAGAAAUUUGGCUUGAACAUUUAAGAUCGGAAUCAUCCUUAAACCGGAACGGAACCUUUGAUUAUUCUUAAACUUUUGAAAGGGAGAUC